AUGCUCCCCUUAGCAUCACAUAUAAUAAAGCUGAAAUGACACUGAGAAGAUUAGUACGGCCCCUUUGCAAGGAUGCCAUGCAACUUCAUGAAGUGUUUCAUAAUUUU
ensembl:snRNA U6 U6 spliceosomal RNA